CUCAAAAUGCCCAAACUGUGUCUAAUGACACUCACAAGAGUAGCGUGAAAGCCCAAACUUAUGGAACAGGGAUGAAGAGGAGGAAGUGGUGCUCACGUGUCCAUAAUCAGCCAUCAACAAAGAGUCCUGAGGAUUUACCAAAUGCUGUUACAGAUGACACAGGGGGAAAAGUUUCAGCCACAAAGCAAGACACAUAGGUGAGAGAGUUCCACUUUGAAGAAGCAGGACAGCAAAGUCAAAGACUAUGACACGGAUUGCGAGAAGUUAUUGUUUACAUCUUGGUGUUAUGUUUUUUCAAAACAUAUUUAUUUGUUUUUUAAAUAUGUUUUACAAUGUUGUCUCAAUCUAAUGGGUUCAGUACUUUUACGGAAUGAUUAAUUUCAGCCUGCUGUAUUGUACAGAUCAUAGCAUAUGUUUAAUAACUCCAGAUUGAGAAUAAAAAAAGUUAGAGGAAUCUAAGGGUAUAUUGGUCUUUUUUGGUAUCUGAUAUGUGACUUAAGGCAGUUUUCAGUUACUCAUUCCAAAGCUGAGACACUAGACAUAACAGCCAU